UGCUACGACCAUAUCACCCUGAAUGUGCCCGAUCCCAUCAGAUGUCGCAAGCUUUGCAUGGUCGAACCUUGUAAGCACUCGGAAGGGAGAUUACCCGGGAAUACCCGUUCUCGGGGCUU
rnacentral:rRNA from 1 species